rnacentral:rRNA from 1 species
UACGUAGGUGGCAAGCGUUGUCCGGAUUUACUGGGCGUAAAGAGCGCGCAGGCGGCCGAGUAAGUCGAAUGUGAAAGCCCCCGGCUCAACUGGGGAAGGUCAUUCGAUACUGUUCGGCUCGAAGGCAGGAGAGGGAAGUGGAAUUCCCGGUGUAGUGGUGAAAUGCGUAGAUAUCGGGAGGAACACCAGUGGCGAAGGCGGCGAUCUGGGCUGAUACUGACGCUGAGGUGCGAAAGCGUGGGGAGCAAACAGG